rnacentral:rRNA from 1 species
GAUGAACGCUGGCGGCGUGCCUAACACAUGCAAGUCGAGCGAAAAGAUAAGGAGCUUGCUCCUUUGACGUUAGCGGCGGAAGGGUGAGUAACGCGUGGGUAACCUACCUAUGAGACUGGGAUAACUUCGGGAAACCGGAGCUAAUACCGGAUGACCUUUGGAACCGCUGGGUUCUAGAGUGAUAGGUGGUUUUGCUAUCCCCUAUAGAUGGACCCGCUCCGGAUUAUCUAGUUUGUAAGGUCACGGCAUACCAGGGGGACGAUACGUAGCCGACCUGAGAGCGUGAUCGGCCACACAGGAACUGAGACACGGUACAGACUCCUAAGGGCGGCCGCAGUAGGGAAUCUUAGGCGCGGUGGGAAAUCUUGCCGGAGGAACGCCACGUGGGUGAUGAAGGGUUUCGGCUCGUAAAACUCUGUUAUUAGGGAAGAACAAUGGCGUAAGUAACUGAGCACGUCGUGACGGUACCUAAUCAGAAAGCCACGGCUAACUACGUG